rnacentral:lncRNA from 10 species
GCUAACAAUGGACUUUGUGUAAUUGUUCUAAUGCUAAUAAGCAACUGCUGGGACACUUCCCGUGGUAAAUUCCUUUGUGGUUUCGGUGGUCUUAUCACACAUGGGCCUCACCAAGAUGCUGGGCUGGAGAGAACGCUCACUGUGACUCUCCCAGGCUUCAUGAAAUUCCCCCGACUUAGAAGCAGUUCUGGGCAAAAACACACUGUUAGAGGAGGAUUUGCUUUCUUCACGGUGCUUUCGCAAGUGAGGCCUCAGAUCUGCGCUCUUCAAAUCCUACAUAAAGAGCCCAGAGGUUCUCCCCAUGCUCAGCACUGGGCUCGCUUUCCUGCAGAGGAAACGAUGGCAGGUAGAGCUUAAGAAUGACGUUCUCCCCCAGGUCGGCCGAGAGUGCUGUGCCAUGAAUUGAUAGUGGCAGGACGAGAAUAGUAGAGACACGGGUGAUUAAACAGUGAUGCCAGACAGUGUGGGGACAGCAGCAUCUUUCCAUUUGAAGGGUCUACAUAUACCACACAGACCACCUAUACCUCAGCUGUCUUCCCACCCUACCCUGCUCUGGGGCUUGACCACGUGGUCUGAGCCUUAGAGUCAGUUCCAUGCACUAGGCGCUUGCACAGGCCAACAGCAACCUCUUCCAUUGGCUCCAACUUUAGAAUACACCCGAAGCCUUGCUUCUCCAAACAGCUCAUUGUGAAAUAACAGCGCCUCACUAGGUGUCGCUUUACAGCAAUGAUGUAUGACUGAAGGCUACCUCUAUCAUAAAUGUAGCAUCCUCAACUACAUUCUUUUCAAAGUGUUCUUGGAAACCCAUCAUCAUCCCUUGAGGGUGGAUUUUUUUUCUUUUUGGAGAAAGCCAAAGCCACUGGGCUCAUGCCUGGUGCAUGACAUGGGUAAUCAGUUUCAGGUUUCAAAUCAUGUGUUUUCACACACAUUCGUUUGUCUUUUCCUUGCGUGUUUCCUUACUUGGUACAAAUAGUUUGAACAAUAACAGCCACAAUUCACUGGUUAACUUAAAUAUAUUAGGCAGGUGUUAGAAUAAGGAGCUGCAAUGUACGGACUACUUUGAAGGACAACAGUAUUUGGAUGUAUAACGUUCAACAUAUUCAUUUUAAAGUAAUGUUACUGCUAUAUCCUUAGGCACGGUAAGCUGAGGAUAUUGUGAGUGUUCGCAAAUAUACAGAGACCACCCUCACAUGUAGAACCGUAGAAUCCUAGAGUUGGGGAAAAGAGGUCUUGGGGGACAUCUGGACGGCUCCCCUCCAGAGUAGAACCUUCUCCCCCGUGGGUUCCACAUUGCUCUGUGGGGGGCAGAGCAUGGUACGGUGUGCAAGAAACAAGCUCUCCAAGUCACCUCCCCCCAUACCUCCAUCUCCUUAUCUGGAAAAGGAGGGGAGUCAUCCACAUGACCUUUGAAAGCAUUUCCAGCUCAGUUACUUUGGCCAAGGCCAGUGGGGCUGUGCUGCCGUAAUGGUUAUGGGCUGUUGGCUCAUCUCUUUUGUUUCAUGGCUGCUGGCUCCUGCCUCUCCUCCUUUGCAACCUCAUCUAGAUAUUUUUUGAUCCUCUUCCCUCAUGAGCCCAGAACUUCUCAAGGCCAUGUAAGCACCACUUGACCAUUCUUUCCCACUCGUUUUUUACUUCUCAUUCUAUUCUUUCUUCCUGCCUCCAUGUUUUUUUGCUGGUUUGUUUUCUUUUCUGUCUUUCUUCAUUCCACUAGCUCAAAUGCCUUGGGGAUGGAGACGGGGUAGAGAAAGAAAUAAGAAUAAGCCAACUCUGUCCUCCCAGGCCCAGCAGUUCUGACCUCUGCCCAGCUGUCACCCACCCACAGCAUUCCUUGACUCUGCCCCACUUCCUGUCCAAUCUCCACUUGUUCUAUUUCUCAAGGUCUAGCCCUCUCAGCUCGAUGCCUGAGGUUGGGAAUGAGAGUCUCUGCCCUUCUGAAUGUUUCAUCCUGUGACUCACCCUGAUGUACCACCGAGAGGCCUCUUGAAUCUUCAUCAAGCACAAUGCCCUUCUCACUAGCUGUCCCUCUUCAUUCAGCCCUGAAGGUUAAGUGACCUGGUGCCAAUUCGAUGUACCUCUUGAGAAUCACAAGCUGCUUCUCCCACCGUCCUGCAACAUGCACGGAGUCACUCUGCAAUCCAGCAGCAAUUCAGAUAAUGCCAAAGUUCUUUAUAGAACACAGAACGUUGUCCAGACCCAGUUAGCACUGACUGUACAGCCUCAUGACCAAAGCCGGGCCAGAGCCUUGUGUGUAAGUGAGGAGGGUCCAGCCAGCAUGAAAAAUGAAGGACAAUGAACUACAUCGGAAGUAUUUCUGGGGUGAGGUAUUGUUUUUGGACAUUUAUAAGACUACUGAGACGUAUGCAAUAUUAAGUGGCUUGUGUCUGAGUAGGGAAAGAUGAUGACAUAUUUCCCAAAAGAAAAUGUGGUUUAGAGGGAGGAGAAAGGCAGCACAGCUCUGGAAAAAAAAUGUUUCCAUUCCUGGCCUUUCUACAGCACAAUUGCACACCUCGAGGUCUUUCUAGAAGUCAAACAUGUUUCCUCCUCAGGAACUGAAAGUAUUUCUGUCCAAGUGUGAGAGACUUUGAGGGAGUUUGAUUUCUUUUAUUAUUCAUUGUGUUCUAAGCCAUAAUAUUUAAUUUUCUGUCAUCUUCUAGCUAUAUCUUUGAUCACUUGGGGAUUUAAAUAGAAGAACUCCUCUCAUUUUAUCCUCAAGAAAAUAUGAAAUAUCAUUUGCUUUAUAGAGCAAAUAUUUCCAUGUUACAGAUAUCUGUUGAUUAGAUUAUUUCUCUACUGUAUAUACCUAGAAGUAAUUUCAUUAACAUAAAAAUUUUAUACUUUAAAUACAUUUGUGGAUAAAUUUGCUUUUCAUUCUAUUCACAUGCAAGAAAACUAAACUGAUUGAAUAAAAUCAUUUUAUCAU